CAAUAGCCCGGAUAGAAGCGGCAUCCUUUUUUGUGACGGAUGGAGCGACAGCGGAAGCAGUUACAAAAAAGAUACAGCGAAUAGCCGGAUCAGCU
rnacentral:sRNA from 1 species